AACGUAGGUUCCGAGCGUUAUCCGGAUUUACUGGGCGUAAAGCGUGUUCAGGCGGCUCAGCCAGUCGGGCAUGAAAUCUCUCGGCUCAACCGGGAGAGGCUGUCCGAUACUGCUGGGCUUGAGGGCAGGAGAGGGUGGUGGAAUUCCGGGUGUAGUGGUGAAAUGCGUAGAUAUCCGGAGGAACACCAGUGGCGAAGGCGACUUUCUGGCCUGUUCUUGACGCUGAGGCGCGAAAGCUAGGGGAGCAAACGGG
rnacentral:rRNA from 1 species